rnacentral:rRNA from 1 species
UGGAGCCUGCGGUUUAAUUGGACUCAACGCCGGGCAGCUCACCGGAUAAGACAGCUGGAUGAUAGCCGGGCUGAAGACUCUGCUUGACUAGCUGAGAGGAGGUGCAUGGCCGUCGUCAGUUCGUACUGUGAAGCAUCCUGUUAAGUCAGGCAACGAGCGAGACCCACGCCAACAGUUGCCAGCAUGUCCUCCGGGAUGAUGGGGACACUGUUGGGACCGCCUCUGCUAAAGAGGAGGAAGGAAUGGGCAACGGUAGGUCAGCAUGCCCCGAAUUAUCCGGGCUACACGCGGGCUACAAUGGUCAGGACAAUGGGUAUCGACACCGAGAGGUGGAGGCAAUCUCCUAAACCUGUCCUUAGUUCGGAUUGUGGGCUGCAACUCGCCCACAUGAAGCUGGAAUCCGCAGUAAUCGCGUUUCAAAAUAGCGCGGUGAAUAUGUCCCUGCUCCUU